rnacentral:rRNA from 1 species
UACGUAGGGUGCAAGCGUUGUCCGGAAUUAUUGGGCGUAAAGAGCGUGUAGGCGGCCCGAUUAGUCCGCUGUGAAAGUCCAGGGCUCAACCCUGGGAUGCCGGUGGAUACUGUCGGGCUCGAGUCCGGAAGAGGCGAGUGGAAUUCCUGGUGUAGCGGUGAAAUGCGCAGAUAUCAGGAGGAACACCGGUGGCGAAGGCGGGUCUCUGGGCCGAUACUGACGCUGAGGAGCGAAAGCAUGGGUAGCGAACAGG